ACUCAAGCGAACGUCCUCGGAAAAUGCAUUUGGAGCAUGAGAGUGUGGAGCACGGUCCUGUCAGAGAGAAUGUGCUGAGUUGCAAGGAGCCUUAUCUGCUAAGCCUGUUGAGUGUUUGUUUAAAGGCAUGUCGAUGAUGAUCCGGGAACAGCAAAAUGAAAUGCAGAACCGGAAUCCUGAACUGCCGGGCUCUGAUGUACGAUGCUGGCCCUGAGGUUGAAGCAAGCCCGAACAGAACCCUUUUGUUCUGAGUGCAUGGCCCCACACCAUGGCCUAGCUGUUCAUGAAGCUAUCAGUGGUAAAUAUGUACACAUCUCUCCGGGAUCUGGUUCGUGGUCUUCCAGACAGCUGAUACCGCUGUGAUGUACUACGGAGCCCAAAGACAUAGAGAUAUU